rnacentral:rRNA from 1 species
UACAGAGGGUGCAAGCGUUAAUCGGAAUUACUGGGCGUAAAGGGUGCGUAGGCGGUCGCGCAAGUCGGAUGUGAAAUCUCAGGGCUCAACCCUGAAACUGCAUUCGAUACUGCGUGGCUAGAGUGCUGGAGAGGAGACUGGAAUUUACGGUGUAGCAGUGAAAUGCGUAGAUAUCGUAAGGAAGACCAGUGGCGAAGGCGAGUCUCUGGACAGCAACUGACGCUGAGGCACGAAGGCCAGGGGAGCAAACGGG